rnacentral:rRNA from 1 species
UACGUAGGGCGCAAGCGUUUAUCCGGAAUUACUGGGCGUAAAGAGCUCGUAGGUGGUUUGUCGCGUUGUUCGUGAAAACUCACAGCUCAACUGUGGGCGUGCGGGCGAUACGGGCAGACUAGAGUACUGCAGGGGGAGACUGGAAUUCCUGGUGUAGCGGUGGAAUGCGCAGAUAUCAGGAGGAACACCGGUGGCGAAGGCGGGUCUCUGGGCAGUAACUGACGCUGAGGAGCGAAAGCCGUGGGGAGCGAACAGG